rnacentral:rRNA from 1 species
UUUGAAAGAUGGUUUCGGCUAUCGCUUACAGAUGGGCCCGCGGUGCAUUAGCUAGUUGGUAGGGUAAUGGCCUACCAAGGCAACGAUGCAUAGCCGACCUGAGAGGGUGAUCGGCCACACUGGGACUGAGACACGGCCCAGACUCCUACGGGAGGCAGCAGUAGGGAAUCUUCCGCAAUGGACGAAAGUCUGACGGAGCAACGCCGCGUGUAUGAAGAAGGUUUUCGGAUCGUAA